rnacentral:rRNA from 1 species
CUACGGGGGGCUCCAGUGAGGAAUAUUGCACAAUGGGGGGAACCCUGAUGCAGCAACGCCGCGUGGAGGAUGACGCAUUUCGGUGUGUAAACUCCUUUUAUAUGUCAAGAAAAUGACGGUAGCAUAUGAAUAAGCACCGGCUAACUCCGUGCCAGCAGCCGCGGUAAUACGGAGGGGUGCAAGCGUUACUCGGAAUCACUGGGCGUAAAGGACGCGUAGGCGGGUUGGAAAGUCAGGUGUGAAAUCCUACAGCUUAACUGUAGAACUGCACUUGAAACUUCUAAUCUAGAGUAUGGGAGGGAGAGAUGGAAUUAGUGGUGUAGGGGUAAAAUCCGUAGAUAUCACUAGGAAUACCUAAAGCGAAGGCGAUCUCCUGGAACAUUACUGACGCUAAGGCGUGAAAGCGUGGGGAGCAAACAGGAUUAGAUACCCGAGUAGUC